CUUGAAAGUUAGUUGAGGUGAUGUAAGAAAAGUGUUUAGAACAACACCUGCCAUAAAGGAAGUGCUCAGUACGUAUCAGCCCGCGUGUUCCAGGCCGGAAGGGCAGGGCACAAUGAAACAGCAUCGGGCCAGCAGGUUAUUGUCAGCACGUACAAGUGCAUCUGAGAGCUUUGCAGACUCAAUAUGCCUCUCUCAGGACGAAGUGUAGAGACCUGGGAUGUGAUGCGGAACAACCAGCCAUGAUUUAGAACAAUCGAGGCCCCCGGAUGCAUUUUUCUGCUUUACCAGCAGUUUGAUAACCAGGGACUAUAAACAUUGAAUGGUGAGUCCAAGUGCCUGUGGGCCGUCUGGUUCGCAAUUCACCUUCUACACUGUUUUAUGGAGAAUGACACUUGCUCCUGCCUUAAAAAAAGAUCUCUGCUGAUGUGUUCACUGGGGACCAGGAUAGCAUUGGCCAUUUACCUCUGAACACAGAAGAGUUAACAGCAGAGGAACUGGAAUCGGAAAAUCUAAGUUCUAGUCACAGGGCUUCAAAUACCUGUACUGUUUUACAAGUCAAUCAACAAUGAGAAGAUGUCUCUCCUUGCACCCUUGUACUAUUAAGUAUAAUCAUUUAAAAACAAAAUAAAUAAAAAAGCCCUCUGUUACUUUUAUAGGGGAAAAUAAUGUUUCAUUUUCCUUGGUAACUAGUCAGGUUGACAUUUUUUCUUGUAUAUUAUGCAUCACUCGGACUUCUUCUGAGGAGCAUCUGUUUGCAUCGUUGCCCAUUUUUUCUUUUGAGGUCUUAAUGUUUUCCUUAAGAACUUUUAUGAACCUUUUAUUUGUGAAGUGCAUAGCCAUUUUUGGUAUAAUUUAGAAGCAUCAUAUUGUUUUACAUAUAGAUGCUUUACAUUUUCA
rnacentral:lncRNA from 1 species